rnacentral:lncRNA from 1 species
UUUCAUGAGAAUUUGGGGUCAGAUGCUGAGAUUUGGGGCCGAUUGGGCUGAAUUUGGGGUCGGGUGCUGAGGUUUGGGGUCAGUCUGUGAGAGUUUGGGGUCAGAUGCUGAGAUUUGGGGUCAGAUGCUGAGAUUUGGGGCCGAUUGGGCUGAAUUUGGGGUCAGGUGCUGAGAUUUGGGGUCAGUUUGUGAGAAUUUGGGGUCAGAUGCUGAGAUUUGGGGUCAUUUCAUGAGAGUUCGGGGUCAGAUGCUGAGAUUUGGGGUCAGAUGCUGAGAUUUGGGGCCGAUUGGGCUGAAUUUGGGGUCGGGUGCUGAGAUUUGGGGUCAUUUUGUGAGGGUUUGGGGUCAGAUGCUGAGAUUUGGGAUCAGUUCAUGAGAGUUUGGGGUCAGAUGCUGAGAUUUGGGGUCAGAUGCUGAGAUUUGGGGCCGAUUGGGCUGAAUUUGGGGUCAGAUCUGGAGAUAUGGGGUCAUUUCGUGAGAGUUUGGGGUCAGAUGCUGAGAUUUGGGAUCAGUUCAUGAGAGUUUGGGGUCAGAUGCUGAGAUUUGGGGUCAGAUGCUGAGAUUUGGGGCCGAUUGGGCUGAAUUUGGGGUCAGGUGCUGAGAUUUGGGGUCAGGUGCUGAGAUUUGGGGUGAAUUCAGUGGGAUUUGGGGUCAUUUCCUGAGGUUUUGGGGUCAGGAGCUGAGAUUUGGGGCCGAUUGGGCUGAAUUUGGGGUCAGGAGCUGAGAUUUGGGGUCAGGUGCUGAGAUUUGGGGCCAAUUCAGCUGAAUUUGGGGUCAUUUCCUGAGAUUUGGGGUCGUUUUGUGGGAGUUUGGGGUGGAUUCUUUGGGAUUUGGGGUCAGGUCCUGCGAUUUUGGGGUCGAUCCCGGGGAUUUUGGGGUCACUUCUGUGCAAUUUGGGGUCGAUUCGGUUCCCAUUCCCCCCUCUUGGGGUCCCAAUCCCAAACAUUUGGGGUCGUUUCCUGGCAAUUGGGGUCCGCUGUGCCAAAUCCCAUUGAAUCCCCCCCAACUUCUGCCCCUAUUGGUGCCCCCCCUCCAAGUGCCUUCACCCACCCCAAAAAUGGGGGGGGUCCCCCGACCCCACAAUGUGCCCCCCCGACCCCACAAUCCACCCCUAAGACCCAUAACUCCCCCCCCCAGCCUUCCCCGACCCCAUAACCCCCCAGGUGCACCCCAACCCCACAAGGUGCCCCAUAACCCCCCCCCGACCCCUCAUCCUGACCCCACUAUGUGCCCCCCCCAACCCCAUAACCCACCCAUUAACCCUCCCCCAGCCCCCCCCCCCGACCCCAUAACCCCCCAAGGCGCACCCCAACCCCACAGUGUGCCCCAUAACCCCCCCCGACCAACCCCACAUCCUGACCCCAUAACCCCCCCCCAACCCCACAUCCUGACCCCACUUUGUGCCCUCCCCGACCCCACAACCCCCCAAGGCGCACCCCAACCCCACAAGGUGCCCCGUAACCCCCCCGAACAACCCCACAUCCUGACCCC